AGUGAACGCUGGCGGUAGGCCUAACACAUGCAAGUCGAACGGCAGCACAGUAAGAGCUUGCUCUUACGGGUGGCGAGUGGCGGACGGGUGAGGAAUACAUCGGAAUCUACUUUUUCGUGGGGGAUAACGUAGGGAAACUUACUCUAAUACCGCAUACGACCUACGGGUGAAAGCAUGGGAUCUUCGGACCUUGCGCGAUUGAAUGAGCCGAUGUCGGAUUAGCUAGUUGGCGGGGUAAAGGCCCACCAAGGCGACGAUCCGUAGCUGGUCUGAGAGGAUGAUCAGCCACACUGGAACUGAGACACGGUCCAGACUCCUACGGGAGGCAGCAGUGGGGAAUAUUGGACAAUGGGCGCAAGCCUGAUACAGCCAUACCGCGUGGGUGAAGAAGGCCUUCGGGUUGUAAAGCCCUUUUGUUGGGAAAGAAAAGCAGCAGGUUAAUACCCCGCUGUUCUGACGGUACCCAAAGAAUAAGCACCGGCUAACUUCGUG
rnacentral:rRNA from 1 species